UUCUUUUGGACUUCAGCAAUUAUUUCUUAUUCAUCUUUCAAUCUCUUGCUUUUUUUUGGAGAAUAAAUGAAAUAUGAGUAAUAGGUACAGAAUAAACAUAGGUUUGUGUGGUAACAUGAUGUGAAUUUUACCUGUUUCUGAAAUAAUUAACUUUGUUCAGUUGUGUCAAAUAUUUGGUACUUGUUUAUUGUAUGUUACUUCCAGGUGUGUAAUUGUGUUAAAUGUGUAGCUUUUUAAAGACUCAUGACAUUGAGAAUUAUGUUUCAGAAAUGAAUCUAUAAAUCUCUGGGGGAAAAAAGAAGCAAAAGGAAUUUUGAUUUAGUCUUGUCUGCAUAUGAGGAAAUUUAGAAGA
rnacentral:lncRNA from 1 species